GACGAACGCUGGCGGCGUGCUUAACACAUGCAAGUCGAACGGAAAGGCCUGCUUUCCCUUGUGGAUUGCGGGUACUCGAGUGGCGAACGGGUGAGUAACACGUGAGUGAUCUGCCCCCAACUUGGGUAUAAGCCUGGGAAACUGGGUCUAAUUCCCGAUAGGACUGCAGGGUGGUGCCUGUGGUGGAAAACGAUUUUCUAGUGGUUGGGGAUGAGCUCGCGGCCUAUCAGCUUGUUGGUGGGGUAAUGGCCUACCAAGGCGGCGACGGGUAGCCGGCCUGUGAGGGUGGACGGCAACAUUGGGACUGAGAUACGGCCCAGACUCCUACGGGAGGCAGGAGGGGGGAAUAUUGCACAAUGGGCGGAAGCCUGAUGCAGCGACGCCGCGUGGGGGAUGACGGCCUUCGGGUUGUAAACUCCUUUGGACCGCGAGGAAGCCACCUGGUUGGAAGGGUGGUGACGGUAGUGGUAGAAGAAGCACCGGCUAACUACGUG
rnacentral:rRNA from 1 species